rnacentral:rRNA from 1 species
CGAUGGAUAGGGGUUCUGAGAGGAAGGUCCCCCACAUUGGAACUGAGACACGGUCCAAACUCCUACGGGAGGCAGCAGUGAGGAAUAUUGGUCAAUGGACGAGAGUCUGAACCAGCCAAGUAGCGUGAAGGAUGAAGGUCCUACGGAUUGUAAACUUCUUUUAUAAGGGAAUAAACCCUCCCACGUGUGGGAGCUUGUAUGUACCUUAUGAAUAAGCAUCGGCUAACUCCGUGCCAGCAGCCGCGGUAAUACGGAGGAUGCGAGCGUUAUCCGGAUUUAUUGGGUUUAAAGGGAGCGCAGACGGGUCGUUAAGUCAGCUGUGAAAGUUUGGGGCUCAACCUUAAAAUUGCAGUUGAUACUGGCGUCCUUGAGUGCGGUUGAGGUGUGCGGAAUUCGUGGUGUAGCGGUGAAAUGCUUAGAUAUCACGAAGAACUCCGAUUGCGAAGGCAGCACACUAAUCCGUAACUGACGUUCAUGCUCGAAAGUGUGGGUAUCAAACAGGAUUAGAUACCCUGGUAGUCCACACGGUAAACGAUGGAUACUCGCUGUUGGCGAUAUACUGUCAGCGGCUUAGCGAAAGCGUUAAGUAUCCCACCUGGGGAGUACGCCGGCAACGGUGAAACUCAAAGGAAUUGACGGGGGCCCGCACAAGCGGAGGAACAUGUGGUUUAAUUCGAUGAUACGCGAGGAACCUUACCCGGGCUUAAAUUGCAAAGGAAUUGCGUGGAAACAUGCAAGUCUUCGGACCUUUGUGAAGGUGCUGCAUGGUUGUCGUCAGCUCGUGCCGUGAGGUGUCGGCUUAAGUGCCAUAACGAGCGCAACCCUCG